rnacentral:rRNA from 1 species
GACGAACGCGGGCGGCGUGCCUAAUACAUGCAAGUCGAGCGAAGUUUUUCUGGUGCUUGCACCGGAAAAACUUAGCGGCGAACGGGUGAGUAACACGUAAAGAACCUGCCUCAUAGACUGGGACAACUAUUGGAAACGAUAGCUAAUACCGGAUAACAGCAUUAACUGCAUGGUUGAUGUUUAAAAGUUGGUUUUGCUAACACUAUGAGAUGGCUUGCGGUGCAUUAGCUAGUUGGUGGGGUAAAGGCCUACCAAGGCGACGAUGCAUAGCCGACCUGAGAGGGUGAUCGGCCACACUGGGAAUGAGACACGGCCCAGACUCCUACGGGAGGCAGCAGUAGGGAAUCUUCCGCAAUGGGCGAAAGCCUGACGGAGCAACGCCGCGUGAGUGAAGAAGGAUUUCGGUUCGUAAAGCUCUGUUGUUAGGGAAGAAUGAUUGUGUAGUAACUAUACACAGAGAUGACGGACCUAACCAGAAAGCCACG